rnacentral:rRNA from 1 species
UCAUGGCUCAGAAUUGAACGCUGGCGGUAUGCUUAACACAUGCAAGUCGAACGGAAACGAUACUAGCUUGCUAGUAGGCGUCGAGUGGCGGACGGGUGAGUAACGCGUAGGAAUCUGCCUGAUAGUGGGGGAUAGCCCGGAGAAAUUCGGAUUAAUACCGCAUAAUCUAUUCGUAGUAAAGUGGGGGACUUUCGAGCCUCACGCUAUCAGAUGAGCCUGCGUAAGAUUAGCUAGUUGGUAGGGUAAAAGCCUACCAAGGCGACGAUCUUUAGCUGGUCUGAGAGGAUGAUCAGCCACAUCGGGACUGAGACACGGCCCGAACUCCUACGGGAGGCAGCAGUGGGGAAUAUUGGACAAUGGGGGCAACCCUGAUCCAGCAAUACCGCGUGUGUGAAGAAGGCCUGAGGGUUGUAAAGCACUUUCAAUUGUGAAGAAAAGUUAACGGUUAAUAACCGUUAGCCUUGACGUUAACUUUAGAAGAAGCACCGGCUAACUCCGUGCCAGCAGCCGCGGUAAUACGGAGGGUGCAAGCGUUAAUCGGAAUUACUGGGCGUAAAGCGUGCGUAGGCGGUUUAUUAAGUCAGAUGUGAAAGCCCCGGGCUUAACCUGGGAACUGCAUUUGAAACUGGUAAACUAGAGUAUGGUAGAGGAAAGUGGAAUUUCUGGUGUAGCGGUGAAAUGCGUAGAUAUCAGAAGGAACAUCAAUGGCGAAGGCAGCUUUCUGGACCAAUACUGACGCUGAGGUACGAAAGCGUGGGUAGCAAACAGGAUUAGAUACCCUGGUAGUCCACGCCGUAAACGAUGAUAACUAGCCGUUGGGGGGAUUUACCCUUUAGUGGCGAAGCUAACGCGUUAAGUUAUCCGCCUGGGGAGUACGGCCGCAAGGUUAAAACUCAAAGGAAUUGACGGGGACCCGCACAAGCGGUGGAGCAUGUGGUUUAAUUCGAUGCAACGCGAAGAACCUUACCUGGUCUUGACAUCCUGCGAACUUUCUAGAAAUAGAUUGGUGCCUUCGGGAACGCAGUGACAGGUGCUGCAUGGCUGUCGUCAGCUCGUGUCGUGAGAUGUUGGGUUAAGUCCCGUAACGAGCGCAACCCCUAUCCUUAUUUGCCAGCACAUCAUGGUGGGAACUAUAAGGAGACUGCCGGUGAUAAACCGGAGGAAGGCGGGGACGACGUCAAGUCAUCAUGGCCCUUACGACCAGGGCUACACACGUGCUACAAUGGCAUCUACAACAGGAAGCAAAACGGCAACGUUAAGCAAAUCCCGAAAAGAUGCCUCAGUUCGGAUUGCACUCUGCAACUCGAGUGCAUGAAGCUGGAAUUACUAGUAAUCGUGGAUCAGCGUGCCACGGUGAAUGCGUUCCCGGGUCUUGUACACACCGCCCGUCACACCAUGGGAGUUGGUUCUACCUUAAGGCAAGGUUUUAAACCCUUGACCACGGUAUAGUCAGCGACUGGGGUGAAGUCGUAACAAGGUAGCCGUA